rnacentral:lncRNA from 1 species
AUCACCUGGUAUUCUUCAGUUUCAAACCAAGUACACAUCUCAGUCCAUGCAUCCUAAGCAACAUGUUUUUGAGGUUCGGCCUUUCUUGUCAAUAUCAUCUCAGUCCAAGAAUCCCUGACAAAAGAGUUUCAGUUCUAAUAACAACAGGUAUGAAGCGCCAUACAAUAUGUCAACAUCUGAGGCAUAUAUAUGCUGCUGCUAUCAAUGAGCAGCCAACAAUGGAAUUAUUAACAGUUGCACUCUUACCUACCUUAAUACCUCUGAUGACUUUUUACUGACUUUGUAGUUACAUAUGAUAACGAGUUCCAAGCAGAUCAAAUACUUUGUCAGAGCUAUUAUAACCUCUAUUUCUUAUAUAUAGGCAAAAAUUUCUAGUAAAUAUAUUGUAUAUUGGGAAGACAUGUUCAGAACUAAGAAGCCUACUUCAUGAAUAAUAAUGCCCAAUGGGAUCCUAUCCAAUAUCCGUCUUGAAUCUUGACUUCUACUCCAUAAAAGAAAAUUUAUUUAUGAGUAUUAUAGCUUAAAAAUGAUAUAUGUAAUCCUGAUCAGCUAGCAAGAUGCAUCGUUAGGUUGGGACAGAAAUAAGAGCGAUCAAGUUAGUUGCACUCGCGAGACGCUUACAAGACACAGGACUACACAACAGCAGUCAACAGCAGCACACCCAUGUCUAUAUAGUCAUGUGGAUUUAAUAACUGACAAUAGAUACAAAACUUCGACAGGAUAACUACAGGUCCAAUUAUCUGGUUCACCCAUACAAACUGAUAUGUGCCGACAACACAUCUCCAAAGAUCGUAAAAUAGAAACCAACCAACAAUCGCCUAACAUUCCCCAAAACAAUAAAUAGUUAAGUUUCCAUCUGAAUACACGCCGCCAUUUUUUUGGGAACACAGUGGACUAGUGGAUGUAAUUAAACCAAAAUUUUCCAAAUGGAUGAACUUCUAGAUCUCAAUUAUAAUCAAUCUACAUUCAAUUUAAAUCAUAGUUAGUAAUCUAGACAUGGAUCAAAAUUAUUAUCAAACUACAUUCGAUUCACAACAAAUUUAGGAAUCUAGACAUGGAUACGAAGUUAAUCACAGUCUAAACUCAAUUUUACCAAAGAUCUACCAAUCAAUUUUUUAUUCCAAAACAAACCUUAGACAAAUGAGGUUUAACUAAAAACUCUCUAAUCAGAUAAACCCUCUUCUUUUCAAUAAAUUUGCUAUCGAUCUACAUUCCACUUCACAAAUAAAAAGGAACUAAACAUGCAAUCAAUCACAGAUUGAGUCAAAGAUUUCAGUUUUAUUAUCAAAGGUCUGUAAAUCAAUACAGAUUCCAUAUAAUUUUUAGUUAAUCCAAGCAUGCAUGCAUCUUAACCAUCAGAAAACUAUCACCUAAUGCAAAUAGUAAACUGCAGAUUUUUAACUGAAAACCAUAAUCAUAUAAAGAAACGCAUACCCGAUUCUUGUUUUCCACCAUUAGAAGCUUUGGGUUUCUCGGAUGCUGUAUUUGUACUUGGUACCUUAACAGCUGCAGAUUCCAUCUUCUCCAUUUAGAUGAUCGGAAAUCACAAAUAACAAAAAAGAUUACGAAAUAAAUAAAUAGAGAUGAAAAAAAUCUUCACUUUCUUUCUACAAGAAAAUGAAUAUUUCUUUCGACCUUGCUUUGAUGGCUUUGAACUUCCAAUGUUCUUGCUCUGAUUGUUUCAGCCGUGGAGAUUCAUGUAGCAAGCUAGAGUCUGUGAAAAGAGCUCAACUUAAUAUUAAUGCCAUAUUCCAAACUCAACUCAAAUCGAGGUUAUAAUUUAACUGUUUAAGUGUUUAGACAUGAAAAUAAAAGCAUUUAAGGCCAUAUUCGAAUUGUAAAUUUUCAUUAAAACAUGUUGUAAUUGACUAGAAAUUGAUCAGUGAAAUAAAAGAAAAAUACAAAAAUUCAGGUUAAUCCCAACAUAGAAAACAUACCGAUAUAUAAUAAUCUGGUAAAUCGCUGAUUCUGUAGAUAUGUUUCUCCUCAGUUUCUUCUUCCAUCUCCAUUAGUGUUUCUCCUCCUAGCGGCGUUGAGAAUGGAGAGAUUUAUUUUCAGCUUAAAUGUCAAAGUUAUGGGCCUGAUUAAUAAUGCCCUUAAUUUCAAUGGACCAAAACAAAACCCAAUAGGAUCCGAUCCAAUAUAGUUUAAGUCUGAACUCUCAAAGUUGGUAAUAAGUAAAAGGGUGUUUGGCAACAUAAAGUAAAUUUACUUUUGUUUAUAGUAGAAAUAAAAAAGCAAAAAGUUAAGUUUGGUAAUACACUGACUAAAAAGUUAAAAAAGUCAAAAAGUUAGUUUGGCAACACAUCCUAACAAAAGUUAAAAAAUAAAAAAUAAUAAUGACGAAAAUACAUAAAAAAUAAGAAAAAUUGAAGAGAAAUUUAUAUUUGAUUAUAAAUUAAAAUUAAACAAGAAAAUAAGAAAAAAUAACCUAUUUUUUACAUGAAUCUCAAUUACAAUUAUCAAAAAUCAUGAUUAAAAAUAUGAUUGUAAUUGGUGUUGUAAAUAUAUAAAAUAAAAUAGGUAAGAUCGAGAUGGAAAUUGUAAAAGAUAAAGUAAAAGGAUAAAUUAAAGAUGGAAAUUGUAGAUUAAAUAUGUAAAGUAACACGUGAAUUUUAUGUGAUUCGACAAUGGUACCUACAUCCAUAGGAGAGAUGAUUGUUUUAUUAUUGAUAUGAGAUGAGUAGAUGUGAGAAGAGCUAGAGAGCUUGUGUCUUUUUAUAUGAAAUAAAUCAUUUUAUAUAGAUAGAGAAUUAAAAUUGAACACAUGUGUGAUAUAAAUCACAUUGAUUUUGUAAUUGAAAAUAACAGACAUAUAAUAGAGAAAAUAUAUUUGGUAUUGAUAUUGUAAUUGUUGGCAAUAAUAGGAAUUGUCACAUGAAUUCACAUGAGUUGGGCCAAGUUGGACUAUGACUUGUACUGCAUGUCGGGCGAGCCAAGUCGUUGGAAAUAGGCUUGAACUCGGGUGAGCUCGAUAAAAAUAAGUUUUAAGUCGAUGUAGCUCAAUAUGUAUAUACAUACACAGGUGUAGUGGUAUUUGUAUCAUGGUGAAAUUUAAAGAAGAGAAAAAAUAGUAAAUUAAGAGAAGGGCAAACAAUGAAGAUAGAACUUUAACAUUCAAGAUGUUUGAAUUAGAUUUCAUCUAUCACAAAAUUCAAUCCUAUGGGUAGAUUUCUACAACAACUAGAGAGCUCGGGUGAGCUCGUGAUAUAUUGUAAGGCUAUGUUAUAAAGCCAAUUAGAAGUUGGAAAACCUAAUCUUGGAAUGAGAGUAAGAGAGAGUUUGUAUCCUCAAUUUGUGAUUGUCUCUUUGAGAGAUUUGGUGAGGAUUUGAGAAGGGAGAAAACCUAGGAUUUUUUCUAUUUGCUUGAGAGCUUUGUAUUAUCCUCUCCAAUAGUAAAAGUUCUAUUUGUUUGUCCGUGGACGUAGGCAAUAUUGGUCGAACCACGUAAAUCUUGUGUUUUGUGUGCGUUUGUUUGGUAGUAGUAGUAGUUUCAUCUUCUCUAUUUUGUUCUUGUUUAAUUUAUACACUAUUUCAAUCUUGGGUAUUGGUGCAUAAGUUUCCGUUGCGCACAACACUGGAGUUGUAGAGGUCUAGGUUGUACUGAAAGUUGUUCUUAUUCUAAAGAAUCUAAUCCGGGGGCACAACCCAGAUGCUUUGUUUUUGUCGGAAACAAAGGUGCAAAGGCGUAGAAUGGUAGUAGUUCAAAAAAGAAUGAAAUAUCAUUGUGGAGUUAUAGUUCCAACUCAAGGAACAUCUAGUGGUUUGGCUCUUUUUUGGAAGGAAGGCAUUGACAUAACAAUAAUGGAGGAAUCUGCAAAUCUAAUCACUGGUAAGGUUGUUAAUUACCCAAGUGAUAUUGUGUGUGAUCUUUCAUUUAUAUAUGCUCAUCCAGUAGUUCAUAAAAGAAGUCUAGUUUGGAAUCAACUUAGAAAUUUUCGGUUUCUUGGGAAUGAACCUUGGAUUAUAUAUAUAUAUAUAUAUAUAUAUGGUGAUUUCAAUGCUAUACUAACCUCAGAUGAAAAAUUAGGUGGGAUUUCUGCUGCAAAUAGAAGUAUGGAAGAGUUCAAUGAGUUGUGUCAUGAAUUAAGUCUUUUUUAUUUGGGUUAUAGAGGUCCUAAAUUCACUUGGUCUAAUUUCAAAAAAAUUUGGGAUCACAUUUUAGAGAGUUUAGAUAAAGCUUUAGCUACUGUAAAUUAGAUAAAUAUGUUUCUUGAUUGUAUGGUGAAAACUUAUACCUCUACUAAUUCUGAUCAUCUUGUUUUAACCUUAAGUCUUGUCAAGGUUGAAAAACCUAGAUAGGCCAUUUAAAUUUUUUGAAAUGUGGAUAGGAGAAGAGUCAUGUAAAGAGGAAAUAAAAAGGGUUGGUCUGUGGUUGUAGAAGGGUAUGUUGGGUUUAAGUUUAAGAAUAAAUUAGGCAAUACUAGGAAUUUAUUGAAGGUGUGGACAAAGAAAAUUUGGAGAUAUAUUUGAAAAAAUAAAAACGACAGAAAUGGAGAUCGAAAGUCUCAUGUAGGGUGUAAUAGAUGAAGGUGUUAACGACAGAAAUGGAGAUCGAAAGUCUCAUGUAGGGUGUAAUAGAUGAAGGUGUUUAUGAGAGAGUGAGAGAAAAACAAAAAGAGGGAUUGGAGGAGUUACACAAACAAGAAGGAAGUUUUUGGUUACAAAAGUCCGAAAAAAUAUAUGGUUAAGAAAGAGUGGGCAAAACACAAAAAAAUUCACCUAUCAACCAUUUAUAGAAGAAGAAGUAAUGUGAUAGUGAGAAUAAAAAAUAAAGAGGGAGUGAGGAAGAGUGGGAACCAGGAGAUAUGAAAGGUGUUUAAAUAAUACUUUGAGGAUCUAUUCACAUCAGAUGAACCUAUGCCAGAUUCUACAACUCUAAACCUGUUCCAGACUUGCAUUUCAGAUGAAGAAAAUGAGAGUAUUACUGCCAUACCUACUAAUAAGGAGAUUUGGGGAGUUGUGAAAUCAAUGGGGAGCCUUAAAGCCCCAGGUCUAGAUGGAUUUCAAGGAUUUUUUUUACAAAAAUAAUUGGGAAGUAAUUGGGAAAGAUGUCAUUGAUCUAGUUUAAGCUUUCUUUAGAUGUGGCUGGCUACCUACCUUCCUCAAUGAAACCCAUAUCACCUUCAUUCCAAAAACAAACAAACCUACCUCCCCUAGUAACUUUAAACCAAUAAGCCUUUGUAAUUUCUGUUACAAAAUCAUUUCAAAAACCCUAGCAAAUAGAUUAUAUUGAAACCUUUCCUUGAUAGGGUUAUCUUUCCUCUAAGGGGCAUUUGUCAAAGGAAGACACAUAGGAGAGAACUCGUCUUUGGUUCAUGAAGUUUUUCAUAGGAUGCAACAAAUGAAAAGGAUAAAAAACAAGGUUGGAUGGCUUUAAAGAUGGACAUGGCAAAAUAGGGUAGAGUGGAACUUUUUAUUUGAUAUCCUUAGAAGGUUGGUUUUUGUGAUAAAUGGGUCAAGAUGAUUGAAUAAACAUUUGUAAUGGGGAACCAAGAUCCAGGUUCACACCUAGGAGGGGGGUUAGACAGAGGGAUCCCUUGUCUCGAUAUCUAUUUAUCAUAGUAUCAGAAGCACUAUCCAGAAUGAUUGUAAACGCUGAGCAGGACAACCUAGUUAGUGGGAUAAAGUUGAGAAAAAGCUCUCCAUCAAUAUCACAACUACUAUAUGCUGAUGACUUAGUCUUAUUUUGUAAAGCCUCAAUGCAGGAAACUAGAAAUCUUCUUGAUGUGUUUAAUAAAUACUGUCAGGUUUCUAGACAAGCAGUUAGUUUUGAAAAAUCAUCUUCCCUUUUUAGUUCUAAUGUGCAUCAUAGACAUAGAAGUGUCUUAAUGAGAAUGUGGAUGGUUAAACCUUUUAAUGUCAAGGACAAGUAUUUGGGGGUUCCAGUCAUGGUAGGAAGAUCCAAAACACAAGAUUUUGGAUUUCUAGUUGACGGAGUUAAGAAGAAAGUGGCAAGGUGGAAGUUAAAAGUAUUGUCUGAAGUUGGAGGAGUAGUCCUCAUUAAAUCUAUUAUAGAACCUACUCCAAUUUAUAACAUGACAUCUUUUUAUCUACCCAAGGGUUUAUGUGACAAGAUCAAAGCAAUCAGUAGAGACUUUCUAUAGAAUGGCAGCUCUGAUUCACAGUCUAUACGUACAGUUAGUUGGGACAAAGUCUGUAGGCUUAAAGCAGAUGGAGGUCUAGGGUUUAGAAACUUAAAGAGAAUGAAUAUAGAUUUAUUAACUAACCUAUGCUGGAAAUUGAAAUCUGAUAAUGGGUCUCUAUGGGCUAGAACCUUCAAAUCCUUAUAUCCUAAAUGGGAUUUAGUAUGGAGGGGGAAGGCACAAAAUCCUGGAAAUGUUUCCUUCUUCUAGAAGAGGAUGGGAAAGGCUGUUCCACUGUUCAAAAGAGGUUUAUACUACCAAAUAGGGAAUGGAUCAAAUGUUUGCUUUUGGGAAGAUCCCUGGAUAUUCUGGCAAGAUAGGUAUGUGGCUUUUACUGAAUUAUUAGAAGUAGUACUUCAGGAUAAACCAAAAGUUAAUUAGUGAAUUCAUCAUACCACGAACCACUGAAUGGGAUAGAGAGAAGUUACAGAGAUUUAUUCCUCAAGAUUGAAAGAAAGGCAAAUGCUAGUGAAGUUCUCUCACCUAUUAGAUAAUGAGAGAUGUGAUUGUAUUACAUACUGUAUAUAUAGAUGAAGUUACAACAAUCAAGGUGAUAUAUAUGGAAGUUACAAUCUGUCAUAUAAUAUACAGAACUUUCUAAGAUAUUAUGUGGAGAGAAUCAUGGCGAUAGCUUCUCUUGAUUUUGUGUUGUACACCUUCCAGUAUCUUCCAAUAUCUUCUCUUCUAUACUCCCCCUCAAACUGGGCAAUGGAGAGGGAACAAGGCCCAGUUUGACACGUAAACCAAGAAGCGAAGCUUGGGGCAACAGUUUGGUUAGCAAGUCAGCUGGUUGCUGGUUGGGUGGUAUAAAAUUAGUGACAAGUGAUCCCAUAGCCACCUUCUCUCGAACGAAAUGAUAAUCAAUUUCAAUGUGUUUCGUUCGAGCAUGGAAAACUGGGUUAACCGUCAUGUACAAGGCACUAAGAUUAUCACAAUAUAAUGUUGGGGGACAGGAAUGGCGUAUGUUAAGAUCACGUAGCAAAUAUGAGAGCCAUGUAAGCUCAGCUGCAGUAGACACCAUUGAUCGAUAUUCUGCCUCCGCACUUGAUCGUGCAACUGUGCGUUGUUUCUUUGCACUCCAUGAGACACAUGUGUUACCAAGGAAAGUGCAAAACCCAGUGGUAGACCACCUUGUGUAUUGGCACCUAGCCCAAUCCGCAUCCGAGUAACCAGUUAAGGUUAAUGGGCAUGUAUUUAGAAUCUGUAUGCCAUGAGAUAUUGUGCCCUUUACAUACCUUAGUAUGCGCUUGACAGCUUGAAAAUCGUCAACUGUUGGUUUAGCCAUGAAUUGACUAACAUGAUGGACACAAAAUGAGAGAUCUGGUCUUGUCAUGGUCAAGUAUUGGAGACCACCGACAAGGCUGCGAUAUAAAGUGGCAUCUUUAAACAAAGGAGAGUUCAUCAGGUUGGACUUCUUUGGAGACAUUGGAGUGGAGACAGGCUUGCAGUCACGCAUUUGAGCUUUGUCCAGUAGAUCAUAGGCAUACUUGUGUUGUGAGAUAUGAAGGCCAGUAGGACAUUUAACAGCCUCCAGACCAAGAAAGUAAUGAAUCAUAACAGAGUUAUCUCCACAAUAGAUAUGAGAGUUAACUAAUUUACCUGCAUCACCUGUCAUGUGAGAUGAAGCCGCUGAGUCUGUGAACCACUCUGCAUCCUGGGAAUCUGCAAUAUUCAUGGCUGCAUAUGCUUUCUGAAGGUCAUGAGAUGAAUUAGAUCGUUUAUCAAAGCGCCAACAUUCAAGUGCAGUAUGACCUUUCUUGCCACAUACUUGACAAGUAAUACCGACGGUAUUGUGUGACUUGUCGAAAUUACUUUUGCGGAACUGGUUGUUGAAAGAACUUUGGUUUUUGUUAGGAACAAAACCUCGUCCUUUCGAUGAGAAAUUUCCAUCUCUGUGAUUCCCUCCCUUGUUGAAGUUCUUUUUCUUAUGAUUUUGCUGGCUAACAAAGGCCACUGAUGGCUCAUGAUUAGUUUCAGUUUCAUGAGUAUUAAUCCAUGUUUCAUGAUUUUGCAAUAAUGGAAGAAUUUCUUUGUAAGAGGGAAUUGGAGGUUUGAGCAUGGUAGUGACAAAAGAUUUAUAUUCUUUGCCUAAACCAUUUAAUAGCCAGAAGACCUUUUUUCGAUCAUCAACGGGUUUUCCCAUAGCAGCUAGAUCAUCACAAAUAGUUUUGAAACUGCUAAUAUAAUUAGAAAUAGAGGCAGUACCUUUCCGAAUUGACUGCAGUUUUUGCUCCAAGUGAAACUCCCUUUCUGUAGAUCCUUGUGCAAAUGAAUCAGUCAACGCAUUCCAAACAUCCAUAGAUGUCUGCAGCCCCACAACAAGAGUCAAUGUUUCUUCAGUAAGUGUACCAGUGAUCCACCCACGAAGUAAUGGAUCUGAUCGUCUCCAUGAUACAAAAUCUGGAUUUGUGAUCUUCUUCCCAUCCGAGUCGGUGGUGGUUUGUGGCGGUGCUGAAGUUUCGCCAGUGAUGAAAUCCAUCAUAUCUUGGCUUUCUACGAGCCUAAGCAUUUGCGUCAUCCAUAAUCUGUAGUUAUCUGGAGUAAGCUUGAUAGAGACAAAGUUCCCUACAUUCAAAGUUGAGGGAUAUGGAUAUUUCGAAGCCAUGGGACUCAAAUAUAAGAACUGGAUCUUGAUUUUGAGAGAUUAUACUACACGAAUCAAUGGUUCGUGCCCUAUAAAACCUAAGCUCUUGAUACCAUGAAAGAAAGGCAAAUGCUAGUGAAGUUCUCUCACCUAUUAGAUGAUGAGAGAUGUGAUUGUAUUGCAUACUGUAUAUAUAGAUGAAGUUACAACAAUCAAGGUGAUAUAUAUGGAAGUUACAAUCUAAAUUAUAAUCUACAAAUGGUGCAUAAUUUGACUAGGACUAAUAUUUAGUAUGACUAGGAUUAAUAUUAAUUUGACUAGAACUAAUAUUUAUUAUAAAGGGUGCAUAAUUUGACUAGGACUAAUAUUUAGUAUGACUCUAAAUUAUAAUCUACAAAUGGUGCAUAAUUUGACUAGGACUAAUAUUUAGUAUGACUAGGAUUAAAUAGUGUGACUAGGAUUAAUAUUAAUUUGACUAGAACUAAUAUUUAUUAUAAAGGGUGCAUAAUUUGACUAGGACUAAUAUUUAGUAUGACUAGGAUUAAAUAGUGUGACUAGGAUUAAUAUUAAUUUAACUAGAACUAAUAUUUAGUAUGAUUAGGAUUAAAUAGUGUGACUAGGAUUAAUAAACAAAUGACUAAGACGACUCGGACUAAAAAAACUCUCUCUCUCUUAAAACCUACAUCGAUCUUCAAUUCUUCAUCCAUCUUCCUAAGGGCCUUCCUAAUCAUCUCAUCAUCAUCCUAAAAAAACUCUGUCUCUUAAAACCUAUAAUUCAUCACAAACGGCGAGUCCAUCAUGAUCUACAGAUCGUAUCUCUCUCUCUCUCCAAAUUCUUCACCAAUCGAUUGAUCACAAAAAAAACUCUUAAUAUCAACCAAUUCAACUGUAAGUACAAUCCGAAUUUUUCUUCUGAAUUUUAUACAUCAACCAAUCAAGUUGUUUUUUUAUUUGGGUUUUGAAUUUUGUUUUACUUUUAUUACGAAAAUCUAACCCCAUCUCUGAAAAUCUUGCAAAUAUAUAUCGUUUUUUACUUGCAAAUAUAUAUCUUAGAAAUUAUCUAAAUUGGUUAAAGGUAUCAAGAAUGAUGAUCCAAAUAUAUCUUAUGAGACUGCAAAACCAAAAGUACAUUUGAAAGCCCCAGAGAACCUGGUGUAGCUUUCUUAAUCAAAAAAUAUUCAAAUAUAUCAACUUUAAAAGUUCCAACUGAGGAUUUAGUUAAAUAGCUAUUUUGUUUUCCUGUUGUCCCUCCAGUAGUGAAACCUAUUUUAUUCUUGCCAUUAUCCCAAACCAGCCUAUAGUUCGACGAAGAGCCUUUCAUCCAAUAAUUCUGAGAUUUCCUAAAUGAAACCGAAUCUAAUAAAUUUAAUCAUUUACUGCUAUAUUUUUUUUAUCUCAUCCUCUGCUCACUUUCACUUUGUUAGAUUUUUUAUUCUAUCAUAUUAUUUUCUUCAACCUGUUAAAGUUUUAUGAAUAUUUUUAUCAUCCAGUUUUCUAUCUUUUAGAUUCUAUUCAUAUUUUAUGAGGUGGUCACACAUUUAUUCUUUGCCUGUUAUAUUCUAAUAUGACAAUUUCACACUGCAGGGUUUAAUUCAUAUUCUAUCAUCAUGUUCAAGUGUACCAGUUCACAUGUUAGAACGAGUUUGCAACCAUUUGUGCCUCUCCUGCUAUAACCAGCAGAGCAGGUAUGGGGCCUUAUUGAUUAUCUGUCAAAUGAAGUGCAUGAGUCUGUAAUAGAAUUUAUAAUGUUAGUUCUUAAUGAAGAUGUCAAGUUGUAAUUGUUAUUUUAAGCCUAUUUGUGUGUAUAUGUAUACUAUAAAAGUACAACACGUAUAAAAUCCAAAUUCCAAAGUAAUCAUUUUUAAUGCUAUUAUACGAAACAAAUACUUUACAAAAAGGUUUUAUUUAAAUGAUCAAACAAAUACUCUAAUUACUCUAUAUCAAUGAAAUUAUUGUCACUGCAAAGUAUCUACUGAAUCUAAUCCAAGUGGCUAAAUCUCUUAAUUAAAGUAGUUUACAAUAAACGUACUCUAUUUCUCUGAUGACUCUCUGGCCUUUUUGUUUUAUCUACUGCUUCAAUGUUAUUUUCUAAAAUGCAAGUAUUUAUAGUUAAUAGCUAGAACAACUACUUCAACUUCACUUCUUUAGUUUUAAACAAUCAUUUCUAAGUCGACAUAGCCUUGGACCGUCUAUUUAGCAUUUAACAAUCAUUCCUACAUUUUUGAAAGUUAAGUAACUUAGUUAAGAAGGAAAUUUCUAUAGUUGUAUAACUAUUGAUGGCCUUUUUAAUUGUGCAGAGGCACGAAAGCCAUAUCUAAGAUCAACCCAACCCAUGAUUUUGAUCCAAAUUUAAGAUGUCGUAGGUUUCGUUCAGAUAUCUCUUUAAUUCAUCACUGAAAUGCAAAGGUUUAGCAUAUUAGGAUAUUUGAACGAAAAAAUUAAUCUGUUGUAAAAUUAUUUUGUGAGUUUGUUGGCCUAAUCAAAUUUUCCAUUGCUUGGUUUCAUAAAUAUGACUUUGUGCCACAGCCCGCAACAAUACAAUGCAAUACCCUCACAAUUGGUUAGGCCAACAAUGUAGUGAUUUUUAUUUGGUUGAAUUAAUCUACAGGUUCAAAUUGGAUCAGCAAUUUGCUUUAUGAUAAAUACAUUAACAUGUUAUAACUUCUAUAGUAAAUGUGUAUAAUCAACUUAUAUGAGUCGCAGUCAAUAGCAUAGUAGCAUACCAGUUGCAGUAGUCAGUGUUAGCUACCCAUCCAGGUGGGAAUAUGGUUUUAUUGAUUUAAACAAGAACCUUAUUGUCAUCUGGAUGGCAGCGAUGAUUAGUAGCAGAGUGAGUAUAGGGACUAAUAAGACAAAAAAGGUAUGAAUGAGAAUAGAAUGAAAGCCACCAGUGCAGAUUGGUUUCUGUAGAGUAGAGGUUUCAACAUAUGGAUAUGUAAGCUUAUAUCAAAUAAAUUUGAAUUUUUCUUAUUGUAAGCAACAUUAAUGUAUCGUGAUUGUGUGUAUUCCAUAAAAUUUCAGCUGCCAUCUCCUGCCUUAUUUAGCCCGCUCUUAGAGCAAUCCCAAUGGGAGGGCAUUUGGGAAGGACGGUAAUGCGAAAUGCCGAAUUCAAACAAAAAAACCACUUCCAAUAGAAUGGUGUGUUAACAGAGUACGACAGUGAAUAAAAGAAAGGGUUUACGAUCAUUUUAGACAAAUUUGAGUUUUGCAUAUGUUUGGCUGGAAAUUUGUUGUACCAGAAGAAAUUUGUUUACCAAAUUAAUUAUGGGUUAGUAAUAUGUUUUCAAUAGAAUUCUUAAAUUGUGAGAGGAAUGGUUUUUUCCAGUAGAAUUUUGUAACAGUGACUGAUGUUUCUUGCAAUCAUAUACCAAAGGAUGGGUUAUAAUAUAGAGUAUUCUCUUAAGUUUUUAUUGUCAUGGUAUAAUAUUGCUUAUAUUAAGUUCAAUUAUGCCUAUUAUAAAAGCUUAAUUAUUUUGUUGUUGGCAAUAAAAUUUGUAGACAUAUUGACAAUAGUUGUUGUUAGAAAUAUGAGACACAAAAGCUAGGACUCACAAAUAGUUGGAAUCCCAUUUAUCCCGCUAAUUCAGAUACCUCUACAAUUCGAUCAAGGCAAGUAUUGUUCAGUAACUUCUUUUCUACAAGUUUGUGUGUAUAAUAAUUUACAAGUAUUAAAGUUGAUUGCUUAGUCGUAAUAAAAACAUAAAUACUGAAUGUUUUACUGUAAGGUCACAGACUCCAGGAAAAACGAAUUGCAUUAGUUGCCUCAAAUAAUCUCAUCUUUCCUAAUCUCGGAUUUAAAAAAAAAAAAAAAAAUUCGUGGCAAAUAGGACUAUGCAUUGUUUUUUUCUUUUUCUUUUUACUCUACAAAAAUUUACAAUCACAAAAAACCUUAAGGUUUAAAAUCAAGCUUAUCUUGGUUUGUUUGAGGUGAUAGAAUUAAUAGCCAUAGGCCCUGAUGUCAUAAGCUUAGUACGUACAAUUAAUUUAUAGGAAAGGGGGGUUUCACCUACCUUUUUAGUUAUUGAGCUAUUUAAUGUAAGCCAUCGUAUACCAAAGGAUGGGUUAUAAUAUAGAGUAUUCUCUUAAGUUUUUAUUGUCAUGGCAUAAUAUUGCUUAUAUUAAGUUCACUUAUACCUACUAUAAAAACUUAAUUGUUUUGUUGUUAGCAAUAAGAUUUGUAGACAUAUUAACAAUAGUUGUUGUUAGCAUUGUCAGUUAUAUGAACGCAUCACGUUGCCUAUGUUCUUAUUGUAGGGUUCAAACUAUCAUUUAAAUCAAGCUAAUAGGAGAAGAUUUCCAUAAGAACUGUUCAAUAUAAAGAAGAAUGCAAGCACUAAUGUAAUCCAGAUGUUUAAAAGCGAGGGUGGAAAAGAGUUGAGUUUUGGUAUUCAAGUAGAUUCUUUUCUAUUGUAGUUUCUUUCCUCCCAAUGUGUGAUGAUGACAUAACAUGCUCUAGCUCUACUUUUUACCUGUGUAAAAUUUUUGCAGACUUGACUAUGUAUAUAAACUUAUCAUUUUUUUAGUGGAUGAUCAAAUAGUUCUUUUGGCCUGCUAAUAUAUAUAACACUUACAUUAGAUAUUUUGUUUUGCAGAAGCAUUUACUUGGAUAAGAAUGUAUGUUGUGUUAGAUGUUGAAUUAGACAAUUCCUAUUUCAUUCCUUCAUUGCAACGUAACUGAAAAAGGUGUAGAGCCACUUUUCGCAGCCAUUAUUUGCUUCUUACCAUAAAAUGGUUUUAUUGGCGAUAACCAGUAAUUUUAGCUGAGAUUAUGACCAUUGGCUAAUUGAAUUUCGAUUGGGCCCAUAGUAAUUUCUGCAUAAUGAAUGGAAUUUACAAACUAAUAUUAUACAAUCAUGUGGGCAUGUGGAAAUCUAUAAAAGCAAAAUAGACAAGUUUGAGUAUGUACGAUCCAUGAUGAGUUCAUUGUAUUAUGUGUUUUGUAAGUUCACCAUUGAGAAAGAGUAAUUAUAUGUUUCUUUUAUGUAUAAAUUAAGAUCGAAGUCAUUGAAUUAUUUGCUUGACUUUUCAUACUUUUGCUAUCACAUAACAUCGAAGAUAGAAAAGUUUAACCUAUAUAUUGACUUACAAAAGUAUAGCAUCCAGUAUUGAGAUAUUCAGUACUUUUAUAUAUUCAGUAUUCAGAUAUUCAGUAAUUUUGUAUAUGGUAACCCGAGAACUACUAAUAUAUGUUAGGACUUCUGGUAGCUAAGUUUCAAUACUACAAGCUAAUGGUUUUCCUCACUUCUGACAUUGUGAAUACUGUAUGUUGAUGCGUAAAAAUGCUGAUGCAUAAAAAUGCUGCUCAUUUGAAGCUUUAUGUUAGCUUCUUGAAGCAAAUGCAUUCCCAUGUCUAAAUCACUGCCAAAUCCUUCAGAUCACUAACAAAAGCUAGGACAAACCCUCUUAACCAAAGACAAAAUUUACAUAUAAAGACCCAACUACCCAGCAACCAUUCCUGUAUCUUCAGAGCUCUGUUUGUCUUUAUUACCAUGCUUCCAUCCUUAAUAUAGACCAUGCGUUGAGCAGCUCCCUAAACUGGAUAUUCCUCAUGAAAGUCAUUUAUUCUGAGCUAAGUCAUUAAAUUCUAGAAAUAUAGGCCUCAAUUGAUCAAUACCAAGGAGUCCUCAAUAACAUUAGCUAGGAGUUUGAAAAAUAGUAGUGUCUAUUGAUGUUGAAUGAUAACACAUGCUGAAUGUGCCCAUUUGUGAAAGGAUGUAGCAACAAACCUUGAUUUCACAAUGUUCUUAUACUUGAACAUGAAAAUUUGAGUACAAAAUGGUAAGAAUAAGCCCUCUACAAUGCUUCAGGUUACUGGUGUAGGUAUCCUUUUUCUACUCUAGCUAUAUUAAAAAAGAGUUGGACAUACACUAUUUUAACAUCAUAGCUUACAACCAUUUGUUAGAUAAGAGUUGAUAAUCAGAGCUAUUGCAGAUAAGACUUUGUAUCCUAGAUUGGAUGGGAUGGAUGAAGUUCAUAUUUAGAUAAGACUUCAACAACAUAUAAUUAAUUGAUACUCAACAAAAUACAAAUUGGUUUUGUGUGACUCAAUUCACCGCAACUUUCUUAACGACAAAUUGAGGAUGAUGUGCAAUUAAACUCGGUAAUCAUUCUCAAUAAUUGUUGUAUUUCAAGUUAGCCAUGCUAUGAAACCAUUUUAAAGGCUCUAAAUGCUGAACAAGAAGAUUAAUGUGACUAUUAUAGGAUUACUUUAACUAUUAGCUAUAUAUGACUAACAAUUAUCAAUCACAUAAGUCCAAUGAAAAACAAACAUGUGGUCCAUAAAACAGUCAAAUAAAAUGCAUGAAUACAAAUUGUUGUGUAAAAAAGAUUUUAGAAGAAGAAGAAUGCAAGGAAAUAGCAAACAAAAUAAUCUAUCUAUACACAAAUGAAAAAGAAAGGUAUUUAACUCAAAAGAAAAGGAUGAAAAAGAAUUUGGUAGAAAGUGGAAUAGUGUUUUAUUUUUAAAAAAAAUUAGUUAUAUGAACAAUUCAAUCAAAGCCAAAAUUUAUUUUAUUUAGAGUAUUAUUUAUUUUAUUAUUUCAAAUGUUAUUUAAUUUUGAUACCUUAAUUACCAUUGCGUAUGUUAGACCAUUACCGCUGAGACUGCCUUUUCCAUAAGGUAGACCCAAUCUAUUCAAAAUUUGUUAAUGAAUACAUUGAACAAAUUAAAGCAGUUCAUGUUAAAGGAGAUCAAUAUCUUUGCCUUAAAACAUUGCUAUAAAAGAUAUAUGGGUUUCCAGAAAAAUUCUACACAAAUUGGAAAUCAAUUUUCUUAUCACCUACACUUAUAUUUAUUUUAUUAUUUCAAUAAUUUAGAAGACAAUUUUAUUAUAAUCAUUAAUUCUUAAUUUAAAAAAAAAAUUAAAAAUCUCUAUCUAUAUUCAAUAUCCAAACUUAAAUGUUUAUUGGUAGUAUACAAUUAAUUGUAUUAUCGUGGCAGCGCCACGGGUAUUACUAGUCUGUCAUAUAAUAUACAGAACUUUCUAAGAUAUUAUGUGGAGAGAAUCAUGGUGAUAGCUUCUCUUGAUUUUGUGCUGCACACCUUCCAGUAUCUUCCAAUAUCUUCUCUUCUAUAAAGAUAUCUUAGCUGCUAUAGAAAAUAUCCAAGUAGGUGAUUCUGAGGAAAGAGAUGUUGUUGGGUGGAUAGGGGAAAACAAAGGAAUUCUGACAGUUAAAUCAGCAUAUACUCUAAGUGCACAAGAUGUAGGAAGCUCUAGCAAUGAAGACAGGUUAAAAACUCUAUAUUCUGCCAUCUGGAAGACUAAAAUACCAUCUUUUAUUCAGAUGUUAUGUUGGAAGGUAGUUAGAGGUGCCUUACCUAUGGGGGAAGUUUAUGUUCAAACAUAAAAUCAAUGUUAGACUACCAAUGUACCUGGUGCAGCUCAUGUCUAGAAGAACAUACACAUCAAUUCUUUGGAUGUGAUUGGGCUAGGAGAGUGUGGCUAAGCAGCUCUCUAAGUCUGAAUGUAGAAGGUAGAAUAUAUUGGGAUUUACUACAAUGGAUGGAACAUAUUAUAACUUGGGUUAAAGAAGAUAUAAAACAGAAGUUUUUUCAUCUUUCUCUAGCUAUUUUCGUCAUGUAUGAAAUAUGGAUGGUUAGAAACAAAGUCAGAUUUGAAUUUCAAGAGUUCAGACCAAAUAAUAUGCUUACUUUGGUGAAUCAAAUGGCAGUUCAACUGUGGAAGGACUGGUAUACUUAUGAAUUGAAAGAACUUGCUAAUACAGAGUCUAAUAGUUUAGUUUUGAAUGAUGAUUGUUGUUUUUCUGACUGCUUUCAAAUAUUUUCUGAUGCUGCUUAUGACAAAGUGACUCAUAUAUUUGCUGCUGCUGCUGUUGUUUUAAGGUCAUCUGAUAACAAUAUCUUGGCUAUGGCCUAUAGGAAAGGAAAGGCAAGGACUGUGGCGGAGGCUGAGCUGGUGGGGAUUCUAAUAGGAAUUUUACUAGCUAAGAAGAGAGGUGUUACAAGAUUGCAAAUGAGAGGAGACUGCCAGUUAGUUUUGCAGAUGAUUAAAAAGAAGAAGCCUGACUAUUCAGAUGAGAGUUUUAUUUCCAUUUUUUCUAAUGCAAUGAACUCCCUCCAGUAGAUUUUGUUUGGGUAAGUAGGGAUCAAAAUGGGGAGGCACAUGAAAUUGCUAGAUGGGUUCUGCACCAUCUGGCCAUGGGUCCUUAUCUUGAUUCUGUACUAAGGUCUGUUGAACCUUUAUAUUCUAUUUAAUAUUAUUUCUCUUUUAACAAAAAAAAAAUAAAAAUAUUGUAAAUCUUUAAAUACAUACAUUACAAAUAACAUGUAUAUUGUUUUUCUACUUAAGUACUGUAAGAUGAGAUAACUAAGGUUAGCCUAAAUUAUAGUGGCAGUGGCACAACCACAUAACUUAGGAUUUUUUUUUUUUAUAACCAUUAUAUUUAUAAAAUACUAAAACGAUUACAGAACAUACGAAGAUAUAAUUCUUCGAAAAUAAAAAAAAUACAAUAAAUAUCAAACAAAAUAUUACAACUUAUGUUAAUGAUCCAAGACAGCCAACUCCAGUGAAAUUCAUUCAAAAAUCACAACAUACGUUUUCCAAAUAAUAUUCAGUGUGUGUAUGAAAAGGGCAUACAUUAGUAUCCAAUUCUGAGUACUCAAACAAUAAUAUCUGAGCAUCUUUUGACGCCUUUGGCCAACAGAGCAUUUCAUCACAAAGAAUGCUUGUUGUUUUCUUACAGGUUCCAGACUAAAAUGCACCGCAACCAUCCUCUAUGUUAUUUCUGACAGUAUCAGUGAAAGAAUCUGGAGCAGCAACCAAAAUCAGUCUCCCCAGGAGGAGUGACGAACUUCACCACCUUUAUUUCAGUAUCAGCAACAACUAAAAGGCACUUUUGCUUCUUUUUUUCUUAGGAGUGUAUUGGUGGAACAUAAAACUGUAAGUGAGACAACAUUUUUCACUUUCUCUUAUAUAUCGUUCUUUAUUUCUUUGAAGAUUUUGUAGACAAUAGAAAACAACUCUGUAGUUAAUGACAAAGCUAAAGUUGCAUAAGGAAGGUCCAUGGUUGUCUUAGAAGGUAUUUCCACGCAAAAUCUCUACCUAAUUGUUGUAAUACAUGCAGCUAAAUAGAUAUUGGUGGUGAAAUAUCUGUUAACACAACAAUGACCUUAGUUUUAGCUAACCUAAGGGCUUAAAUUCUGCUCCAGUUCAUGCUUGCCUGCUACAUCAGAAGCUGCCGGAACUAUUUUGAAUUAAAUUUUUAAUGAGUGCUGUAAUGGACUCUACAACCCAAAACACAUUCAAACCCUGUAAAAACUACUACAAACCAGAUUUUAGGCAAACUUUUCAUAGUGGACUACCUUAGUGUUUAGAUUAAGUUACGAGUAUUGUUUGGAAAAGUAAGUAUUCGGAGUAUCCCAAAUAACCAUCAAUGUCUCAUUUCCACGGUACAAAGCAGUUUAAAAUUUAAGGAGCUCGGGUUGUGACAAAUAUGCCAUGAGCUGACUCCCAGAGGUUGUGAGAUGCUACAUCUCACUACUUACAACCACCAGGAUGAAGAAAAAAUUUCUAAGGAGCGCGGGUAUAAAACAUCAAUGAUCAAUUGAAGGUUUCUCGGUGUAUCUAUUUCAAGGAGUUGUCCUUGUCAUACUCAAAAAUAGAAUAAAAGAAAUAUUUCAAGGUUUCUCGGUGUAUCUAUAAACCAAAGAGUUUUCUCAAGCAAGGGCAAACAAUAUGUUCGAAAAUGCCAAAGAUGUAACCAAGAUACACUUCACUUAUCUGUCCACCAACAAGAAUCUGCAACUCUUCCAAGUUUGAUAUAGAUACCAGCGGAGCCUCAGGGAUGUAUUCCUCUGGAAUGGUGAUAUACUAAGAAUGCAAAAGAAAAUAAAUACUGAAAAAUCAACUAAUCGAUCAAUUGAUUGAAAAUGAUAAAUUAUAAAUGAAUAAUUUGGUUAAAGCAUGCUUACUAAAGGUAUUGUGGUGCACAUUGUUAGUAUCUUAACAUGAGAAACACUAGAGAGAAUUUCUAUAUGAUCAUAUUGAUUUUCUGUAGGCUCAUAACCCUCUGCACUAAUGAAAACAUCCUCCAAAGUAACAAUGUUUCGGAACACAUUCAUCUAGAAUAUCUCCACAAAAAUGCAAAGAUUUUUUAUUUAGAGAGAAAAUACCAAGCUCAUUGGCACCAGUAACAACCAAAGUCAAACUCUUAAGUUGUAGGUCUGGACCUGAAAUCUUGAUUGAUUCCAAAUUAAAACACAACCUGAGAAACAAAUUACUAAGAACUGGACAGGUGGAAAUGAUUUUUUCAAGCACAUAAUCGGUAAUACUAACUUUUGGUCGAAUCGUAGCGUCACAAGAGAGCCGAGCCACCGAAUUCUGUCAUUGGAUUAAACUCAACAUGGCUAGCACAAAAAUGGAUCAAAGAAUUACAACCAAAGAAACUAUCUGGCCUCCGAUUAUACUUUCCAAAAUCUGGAUUAACAAUACUAUGCCUCUCAGUUGCUUCUGCCCUCCUCUUAUACUUUUCAAAAUCUGGAUUAUUAGAAUUGUAUGUUACAGACCGUGAUGUUAUGAAUCCAUUUCCAAGUCCACGAGUGUAGUUACGUCCCUUCCCCAAUACUUGAUCCUUAGUUAUUGGACUGGACCCUUUUGGUGGAGGUUGAUCUUUGAGUUUCAUCAUUUCAUCCUAAAUAAAAUGUUCUCAUAAGUAAUAACAAUAAUAACAUUAUCCAAACCAUAAUAUAUCAACAAAAAUUAGAUCUUUACAUAGUUUUUCUCAGCGAGAGGAGAAAUCCAACCCUUAGUUGUACUAAAAUGCAUGAGACGAUAGAACUCAAUUCUCCCACCCUCUUGACGGUUGGCAUCUUGUGUUUCAACAUCACCCGCAGCCUCACGAGCUUCAAAAUUUUAGUACAUAUAUGUUAAAAGCAGUUUCAAGUUACCUUAAAAAAACUAUAAAGUAGAUAGCUAUAAAAAUAUGGUUUCGAUAAGAGUUUAAGAAUGUCAGAGUUAAAAAAUAAAAUUCAAUAUAGCAAUUUUGCUUAACUCCUUUUCCUUUUCUUUGUCUUCCUGAAAAUAAACAGCAUAUGAUAUUAAACCAACAUGAUGGUUGAUCUUAAGUUCCUUUCUACUGUCAACUUUUUUUUUUUUUUGCUUAAUUUCUAUCAUUCACACAAGCAAUAGACCAGCCACGUCAUUCAACAUGAAGCGUGCCAUUGUGUGCACAAAAUCAGAAAAAUGAGAUGAACCUGUACUCAACGAGGUGCAUAAACAACGACACCACAACAUCCAGGUUUCAAACAUGUCCUAAAUACAUGUCCUUGGGAAAACACAUCUAGUAGGCUACAUACACAACAUGACCAAGUCCAUGAAUUUAGUGCAUGGGUUUAACAUUAAACAUGGCAAUUUGCCAUGAAGGCAACAAAAAUGCUUGCAUAUGAGAUUACUACAAAAUUCAAGCAAGUAAACUGUCAGGUAAAACACCAAACCAUCACUGUUAGAUCAAAUGGAAGAACUAUUUAUACAACCAGACCAAAGAGAGGAGUUUGUUGUUUGCCUACUGUGAAUUAAUAUUAGCUCACCAUCAAGUGCAGUCCACAAGAUCGAUAUCCAUCUUACUAAUUCUCUUUUAAAAUGUUCCCCCUACCAUGCUAACAAAAGAUUGGAAUAGUUCUCUAUUAAAACUAACAAUCUUCUGAUGAUAACGAUCUUGUCUAUAACCUUACUUUCUAAAAUGUUGGGUUCAAGUUUCAUGGAAAAAUGUUUGACCACUUGUAUCUGAUUUGGUCUAUACACACCAAAAUCUAUUAUUUUUUUGGAAAAUGAAAAUUUGUAAAGAAGAAAAAUGUUACUGUAAAAACACAAACAAAACUGUUUCAGCUUUGAUGAAUAAUUAACUCUUCAGACAAUAAGAAGAGUUAAUGGAAAAAUGUAAACUACAUUGAUUAAUGUAAACGAGAAAACCUGUUACUUUCCAACCAAAGUCUUGGGCAUGUUCUAUUAUUGAAAAUUUAUGUAAACUACUUUAUCAAUAACUAGGGAACCUGGGCAAUAGUUCAUAGACUAGGACUGGAUAUUCGAUUAAAAAACUUUAUCAUAAAUGCCAUACCACUAAGUAAGAAUACAUGCUAACUAUCAAAAUAUCAAAUAGUGAUCACCUGGAAUUCUUCAGUUUCAAACCAAGUACACAUCUCAGUCCAAGCAUCCUGAGCAACAGGUUUUGGAGGUUCGGCCUUCUUCUCAACAUCAUCUCCAAGGCUCUUAUAGUAUUUGUGCAGCCUACACCUGUGUUGUCUCAAUAUUUCUCCCAUUUGUUUGUCCACAACCUCUCGAACAUAAAGAUCAACAAAGCUUACAUCAAACUUUACCUUCACAAACAUAAAAAAAAAUAUUAAAAUAAAUUCAUAAUUAAGAUGUUAACGUAGGAUGUGAAUA